CCUACGGGGGGCUGCAGCGGGGAAUAUUGCACAAUGGGCGCAAGCCUGAUGCAGCCAUGCCGCGUGUGUGAAGAAGGCCUUCGGGUUGUAAAGCACUUUCAGCGGGGAGGAAGGCGGUGAGGUUAAUAACCUCAUCGAUUGACGUUACCCGCAGAAGAAGCACCGGCUAACUCCGUGCCAGCAGCCGCGGUAAUACGGAGGGUGCAAGCGUUAAUCGGAAUUACUGGGCGUAAAGCGCACGCAGGCGGUCUGUCAAGUCGGAUGUGAAAUCCCCGGGCUCAACCUGGGAACUGCAUUCGAAACUGGCAGGCUAGAGUCUUGUAGAGGGGGGUAGAAUUCCAGGUGUAGCGGUGAAAUGCGUAGAGAUCUGGAGGAAUACCGGUGGCGAAGGCGGCCCCCUGAACAAAGACUGACGCUCAGGUGCGAAAGCGUGGGGAGCAAACAGGAUUAGAUACCCGAGUAGUC
rnacentral:rRNA from 1 species